AGUCAAGUAAUUAAGUGCAUGUGGUGGAUGCCUUGGCAGUCAGAGGCGAUGAAAGACGUGAUAGCCUGCGAAAAGCUCCGGGGAGGCGGCAAAUAUCCUUUGAUCCGGAGAUGUCUGAAUGGGGGAACCCACCUACUUUAAGGUAGGUAUUGCAACAUGAAUACAUAGUGUUGCAAGGCGAACGAGGGGAAGUGAAACAUCUCAGUACCCUUAGGAAAAGAAAUCAAUUGAGAUUCCCUCAGUAGCGGCGAGCGAACGGGGAUCAGCCCAUUAAGUUAUGUGUGUUUUAGUGGAACGCUCUGGGAAGUGCGAACGUAGAGGGUGAUAUUCCCGUACACGAAAGGGCACACAUAAUGAUGACGAGUAGGGCGAGGCACGUGAAACCUUGUCUGAAUAUGGGGGACCAUCCUCCAAGGCUAAAUACUCCUGACUGACCGAUAGUGAACCAGUACCGUGAGGGAAAGGCGAAAAGAACCCCUGUGAGGGGAGUGAAAUAGAUCCUGAAACCGCAUGCAUACAAGCAGUGGGAGCACCUUUGUGGUGUGACUGCGUACCUUUUGUAUAAUGGGUCAGCGACUUAUAUUCAGUAGCGAGGUUAACCGUAUAGGGGAGCCGUAGAGAAAUCGAGUCUUAAUAGGGCGUUUAGUUGCUGGGUAUAGACCCGAAACCAGGCGAUCUAUCCAUGAGCAGGUUGAAGGUUGGGUAACACUAACUGGAGGACCGAACCCACUGUCGUUGAAAAGCCAGGGGAUGACUUGUGGAUAGGGGUGAAAGGCUAAUCAAGCCUGGUGAUAGCUGGUUCUCCCCGAAAGCUAUUUAGGUAGCGCCUCGGACGAAUACCAUAGGGGGUAGAGCACUGUUUCGGCUAGGGGGUCAUCCCGACUUACCAAACCGAUGCAAACUCCGAAUACCUAUGAGUACUAUCCGGGAGACAGACUGCGGGUGCUAACGUCCGUAGUCAAGAGGAAAACAAUCCAGACCGCCAGCUAAGGCCCCAAAAUCAUAGUUAAGUGGGAAACGAUGUGGGAAGGCAUAGACAGCUAGGAGGUUGGCUUAGAAGCAGCCACCCUUUAAAGAAAGCGUAAUAGCUCACUAGUCGAGUCGGCCUGCGCGGAAGAUGUAACGGGGCUAAAACUAUGUGCCGAAGCUGCGGAUGUAUACUUUGUAUACGUGGUAGGGGAGCGUUCUGUAAGCCGAUGAAGGUGUGUUGAGAAGCAUGCUGGAGGUAUCAGAAGUGCGAAUGCUGACGUGAGUAACGACAAAACGGGUGAAAAACCCGUUCGCCGAAAGACCAAGGGUUCCAGUCCAACGUUAAUCGGGGCUGGGUGAGUCGACCCCUAAGGCGAGGCCGAAAGGCGUAGUCGAUGGGAAAAUGGUUAAUAUUCCAUUACUUCUGUGUAAUGCGAUGAGAGGACGGAGAAGGCUAAAUCAGCCUGGCGUUGGUUGUCCAGGUGAAAGGAUGUAGGCAUGUAUCUUAGGCAAAUCCGGGGUACUCUAUGCUGAGAUCUGAUAGCAAGCUGUACUUGUACAGCGAAGUGGUUGAUGCCAUGCUUCCAGGAAAAGUCUCUAAGCUUCAGUUACACAGGAAUCGUACCCGAAACCGACACAGGUGGUCAGGUCGAGUAGACCAAGGCGCUUGAGAGAACUCUGCUGAAGGAACUAGGCAAAAUGGUACCGUAACUUCGGGAGAAGGUACGCUGUUGUUGGUGAUGGAACUCGCUUCCUGAGCUGACGACAGCCGCAGAAACCAGGCCGCUGCAACUGUUUAUUAAAAACAUAGCACUCUGCAAACACGAAAGUGGACGUAUAGGGUGUGAUGCCUGCCCGGUGCUGGAAGGUUAAUUGAUGGGGUUAGCGUAAGCGAAGCUCUUGAUCGAAGCCCCAGUAAACGGCGGCCGUAACUAUAACGGUCCUAAGGUAGCGAAAUUCCUUGUCGGGUAAGUUCCGACCUGCACGAAUGGCAUAAUGAUGGCGGCGCUGUCUCCAGCAGAGGCUCAGUGAAAUCGAAAUCGCUGUGAAGAUGCAGUGUACCCGCGGCUAGACGGAAAGACCCCGUGAACCUUUACUGCAGCUUGACACUGAACUUUGACCUUACUUGUGUAGGAUAGGUGGGAGGCUUUGAAGCUGGAACGCUAGUUCCAGUGGAGCCGUCCUUGAAAUACCACCCUGGUAAUGUUGAGGUUCUAACUCUGUCCCGUGAUCCGGGACGAGGACCGUGUCUGGUGGGUAGUUUGACUGGGGCGGUCUCCUCCUAAAGAGUAACGGAGGAGUACGAAGGUGCGCUCAGCGUGGUCGGAAAUCACGCGUAGAGUAUAAAGGCAAAAGCGCGCUUAACUGCGAGACCCACAAGUCGAGCAGGUACGAAAGUAGGUCUUAGUGAUCCGGUGGUUCUGUAUGGAAGGGCCAUCGCUCAACGGAUAAAAGGUACUCUGGGGAUAACAGGCUGAUACCGCCCAAGAGUUCAUAUCGACGGCGGUGUUUGGCACCUCGAUGUCGGCUCAUCUCAUCCUGGGGCUGAAGCAGGUCCCAAGGGUAUGGCUGUUCGCCAUUUAAAGAGGUACGCGAGCUGGGUUUAGAACGUCGUGAGACAGUUCGGUCCCUAUCUACCGUGGGCGCUGGAAAUUUGAGAGGAUCUGCUCCUAGUACGAGAGGACCAGAGUGGACGAACCUCUGGUGUACCGGUUGUGACGCCAGUCGCAUCGCCGGGUAGCUAUGUUCGGAAGGGAUAACCGCUGAAAGCAUCUAAGCGGGAAGCCUACCUCAAGAUAAGAUUUCCCUAGGACUUUAUGUCCUCUAAAGAGCCGUUCGAGACUAGGACGUUGAUAGGUUGGAUGUGGAAGCAUAGUGAUAUGUGAAGCUGACCAAUACUAAUUGCUCGUGAGGCUUGACUAU
rnacentral:rRNA from 1 species